ensembl:lncRNA
GAUGUGUAUGGAUAUAAAUCCAUGGAGUCCCAAACAGCACCGUUUGGGAAGCAGUCCAUAUUGUCCUAUAAAGUCUUAGAAUGACCGGAUCCUCUGUUGUCUAGAGGUGAAGGUCUCUCUACCUACAUUCGUCUUCUUGCUUUGACCAACACAUGAUUCUAGAGCUGUAGGUCUCUCUACCUACAUUCGUCUUCUUGCUUUGACCAACACAUGAUUCUAGAGCUGUAGGUCUCUCUUCCUACAUUCGUCUUCUUGCUUUGACCAACACCUGUUCCAGGUUAAACCAGGUAUAGUGGAGAGUGACAGAGUUCCAGGGUAACCAGGUAUAGUGGAGAGUUCCAGGUAUAGUAGAGAGUUCCAGGUUAAACCAGGUAUAGUGGAGAGUUCCAGGUUAAACCAGGUAUAGUGGAGAGUGACAGAGUUCCAGGGUAAACCAGGUAUAGUAGAGAGUUCCAGGUUAAACCAGGUAUAGUAGAGAGUUCCAGGUUAAACCAGGUAUAGUGGAGAGUUCCAGGUUAAACCAGGUAUAGUGGAGAGUGACAGAGUUCCAGGGUAAACCAGGUAUAGUAGAGAGUGACAGAGUUCCAGGGUAAACCAGGUAUAGUGGAGAGUUACAGAGUUCCAGGUAUAGUAGAGAGUUCCAGGGUAAACCAGGUAUAGUAGAGAGUGACAGAGUUCCAGGGUAAACCAGGUAUAGUAGAGUGACAGAGUUCCAGGUUAAACCAGGUAUAGUGGAGAGUUCCAGGUAUAGUAGAGAAUUCCGGGUUUAACCAGUGGAGAUACAUUAUUAAUAGUGGAGAGGACCCCAACACUGCUAGUUUUAUCACAUACAGUAUAGGAUGGUUGUGUGUUGCUGUUGGGGGAGGGUCUACCCAGACGAUAACCAGUGAUGUUGCUGUUGGGGGAGGGUCUACCCAGACGAUAACCAGUGAUGUUGCUGUUGGGGGAGGGUCUACCCAGACGAUAACCAGUGAUGUUGCUGUUGGGGGAGGGUCUACCAGACGAUAACCAGUGAUGUUGC